rnacentral:lncRNA from 1 species
AAACUGAACUGUUAACACACCAAUUCCUAUAAAAUUCAUCUAGUGUUCCUGUAAUUGUCAUUCUUCCCUUUAUGUACCAAACUUUUAACAUAUUCUGAUGUUCAGGCAUUUCAAAUGUUCAGAUGGGAAUGUCUCAGCACUUUGACCAUCCGAAUCCUGUGAGGGAGAUGGAGUUCAGUUAUCAUGACAAAGCAACGGAGAACAAACAGAUGAUAAUUUGUGGUGUUUGUAAGACCAUCCUUAGAAAAGUGAUAACAUUUAUUGGAAAAACAGCUUCUAAGGAGGAGAUUAAUCAGAAGCUUGAUAGAAUCUGUCAAAAAAUAAGAAUAAGUGGUUGUCAAAGUUUUUUGCAGAAAUAUAAAAAUAAAGUGGUCAAUAGUCUGCUCUCUGGAGACAAAGCAGGGACCAUCUGUAUCAAAUUAAAACUGUGCAAAAAGAUGGACAUGCAAACUAUACAGUAAUGUGAAUGCUUCAAGUAUAGAAUUGCAUUGUCAUUUAUGUUAUAAUUUGUUACACAUGACAAUAAAAUUAAAGCUCAAUAAUAAUCAGUUCUAGUGAGUUUGUUUUCAGUUUUCUUGGGGUAACUAAGAGUGUCCUCUACAGGUGAUUUUGGGAGCAAAUAUCAAACCAGUUGUUUUUAUUGUUAUAACUUUGCGUGUGUGUGUGUUAAAAUAGAGUGUUUUAGCAUAUGUAACUGAUACAGUGAACACAAUCAUUAAAUACAGCGGGGAAAAUAUUUAUUUGAUCCCCUACUGAUUUUGUAAGUUUGCCCACUUACAAAGAAAUGAAGGGUCUGUAAUUUUUAUUGUAGGAUUAUUUUAAAGGAUAGAGACAGAAUACCAACCAAAAAAAUCUAGAAAAAACAAAAACACAUUAUAAAAAGGUUAGAGAUUGAUUUGCAUUUCAGUGAGUGAAAUAAGUAUUUGAUCCCCUACCAACCAGCAAGAAUUCUGACUCCCACAGAUUGGUUAUGUGCACAUGUGGAACCCAGAUUAGUCCUGUCACUUUAAGAAGUUACUCCUAAUGUCAGUUCGUUAGGCGUGUAAGACACCUGUCCACACAAUCUGUAUUUUCCAUUCUAACCUCUCCCACCUCCAUGGGCAAGACCUUAGAGCUGUCAAAGUAUGUCAGAGACAAGCGCUGCAUCCGAAAACUUAGGCAGCUGACUUGGUGCCUCGCUGCUGUACGAGGCAACGACUUU